UCUGAUGGAGAAAGUACCUAUGCUGCUUUU
rnacentral:piRNA from 1 species